AGUAGUUUGAUCAGUGGCUACAGAACGACGCUGGCGGCAUGCCUAACACAUGCAAGUCGAACGAGACCUUCGGGUCUAGUGGCGCACGGGUGCGUAACGCGUGGGAAUCUGCCCCUUGGUUCGGAAUAACAGUUAGAAAUGACUGCUAAUACCGGAUGAUGACUUCGGUCCAAAGAUUUAUCGCCAAGGGAUGAGCCCGCGUAAGAUUAGGUAGUUGGUGGGGUAAAGGCCUACCAAGCCGACGAUCUUUAGCUGGUCUGAGAGGAUGAUCAGCCACACUGGGACUGAGACACGGCCCAGACUCCUACGGGAGGCAGCAGUGGGGAAUAUUGGACAAUGGGCGAAAGCCUGAUCCAGCAAUGCCGCGUGAGUGAUGAAGGCCUUAGGGUUGUAAAGCUCUUUUACCAGGGAUGAUAAUGACAGUACCUGGAGAAUAAGCUCCGGCUAACUCCGUG
rnacentral:rRNA from 1 species